CCUACGGGAGGCAGCAGUGGGGAAUAUUGCACAAUGGGGGAAACCCUGAUGUAGCGACGCCGCGUGAGUGAAGAAGUAUCUCGGUACGUAAAGCUCUAUCAGCAGGGAAGAAAAUGACGGUACCUGACUAAGCAGCCCCGGCUAACUACGUGCCAGCAGCCGCGGUAAUACGUAGGGGGCAAGCGUUAUCCGGAUUUACUGGGUGUAAAGGGAGCGUAGACAGCAGCGCAAGUCUGGAGUGAAAUCCCGGGGCUUAACCCCGGAACUGCUGUGGAAACUGUGCGGCUGGAGUGCAGGAGGGGUAAGCGGAAUUCCUAGUGUAGCGGUGAAAUGCGUAGAUAUUAGGAGGAACACCGGUGGCGAAGGCGGCUUACUGGACUGUAACUGACGUUGAGGCUCGAAAGCGUGAGGAGCAAACAGGAUUAGAUACCCGUGUAGUC
rnacentral:rRNA from 1 species